rfam:Marmoricola sp. Leaf446 contig_6, whole genome shotgun sequence.
UCGCGUGCUCUGGGGGCGGUGAAAAUCCGCACCGGCGGUGAAAGUCCGCGACCCGGCCGCCUCCAGCGGCCGGUUGACCAGGUGGAACUCCUGGACCGACGGUCACAGUCCGGAUGAGAAGCAGCACGCGG